GAGUUGUUCCCCUCCUUCCUCCCAGUCCCCACCGCCACCACGAACUCUGCUCCGACACGAACUCUGCUCAAGCCCGCUUCCAUGAUUCCGGUCAUCGGCACCUCUCGCAUGUUGCGGAAGCCGAAGGCACCACCUAUAGAAAGGACUCGAGUCCCUCGAUCGAAAUCCCUGAUCAGACAGGAUUGCGGCGGCGCCACGACAGGUUGCCGGCCUGCAGUCCUUCUCACGGGACAAACUGCAUUCGUGGUGCGCUCUCGCUGCCUGCCGGCUUCGACGGUGUGGGCCGGGGCGCCACCCUUCGGCAGAUCCGCAAUCGAGUCGCGCGUCCGAUCUGCCGCCUCCCCUCGACGUCCACGGCUCCGUGCUCUUCCGUGUUCUCUCCUAGCGCAGGCUGUGGGGGCGCUACACCGCUAUCUGCCAGCUCCUCAUACAAGAGCGAUGGACAAACUGAGCCCUGUGGGAAACAAUCGCAUCAGCUCAGCGACGUCCAGCGUUUCUCCCCGUUGUUUCUUUGCACGCCUAUCUCCAAGCACGAAGCCACGACGAGAUGGUCUGGUCUUGGUAUUAUGUUGAUAGUGAGGGUGCAAGGCUGAAGGGAAGCAGCUGGUUCUGUAGUUCUUUGUAUGCUUAUGGUAUCUUGGAUGAGGGUUACAAAUUCAGCUGCUGAGUUAGCAUGGCGGGCUUUUAUCACGCAAUAUUCUGUGACAGAGCUAGUGGUGGCUGUGUUCCUGGUGCUGUUUGGAGGAUCAACAAGCAGGAAGGAGGCGAAAAAGAAUUAACCCCAACACGGAACGAAGGAACACCAGAAUCGAUCGAAAGGAGCAACCGCCGGAUCCGGGGGAAUCCUGCCCGUUCCGCGAGUGAGUGGACGGCGGACGCGUGGCGGCGGCGGCGCUGGCGCCAUUCCGGCGAGGCGAGCUGGCAGUGGGAUUGGGCGCUCGGGCGCGGGAGUGAGUGGAUGGGGGACGCGGGGCGGCGGCAGCACUCCGACGAGGCGAGCUGGUGGCGGGAUUGGGUGCUCAGGCACGCGAUCUCCCACGAAUCCACUGGGCCUGCCCCAUCAUCCGCGCCGCAGCGCGACUCCACCGGCAUGGAGGCCCGUGCCUGGGCAGCCGCCGCCUCGGCGUUUCGUCUCCUCCGGAGGCACUGCGAAGGGGGCCAUUGAUCUCGGUGUAGCUUCACUUUAUGCAUUUCGGGUGGAGUUUCUCUACAAGAGGUCGGAUAAGUACUUGGCAGUUGGCAUGGCGGCGUGUCAGGCUGGUUGCAGCGGUGCGGAGGGAGACCUUGACCUUCGCCGCUGGCUGAUCUGGGGCGGUGCAGAAGGAGAGUUCAAAAGCAGCUCGCGGCUGCACUACGGCUGGCCAGAGGGAGCUGGGCAAGAGAUACUGAGGGGCUCUACUGCCUCGAGCAUGGCAUACAACCCGAUGGCAUCAUGCCAAGUUAGCUUUUUUAUCUUUCAAUUCUUUCACUUGUUUGUCUUUUACUUUCAGAGCUUACAAAAUCUUAGAUGUUGCUUACAAAAAAUUCAGAUACAAUAUUUUGAUUGCAGACUGCAUAUAUUCAGCAAGUAGAUGCCUUCUCGACUGAAUUGUAAGCCAUGAUCGAAGUUUAGUGGUAUUGAAACAGAAAGGCAGAUGACGAUUAAUUUUGUUAUUGCCAGUCUCAACUUUAAUCUCAGAAUCUAGCCGGUCAGUGUUUGUGUCCAGCUUGGGCUAGCUAAACUCAAUAGUGUUUGUCCGGCUUGGGCUGAAAUUUUAAUCAGUCUAGCUAGCUCUUGCUACGUACUUGAUCCAGCGUACGGAUCAAUUAAGGCAUUUCUCUGAAUUAAUUUUGCAUCCACCGCAAAGCAAUUCACUUGAUGUGUUUCUUCGUCCAAAAGUACCGACUGCUAGGAUCACACAUCGUGCUCGUCAAAACGUAUACUACGUGUUCAGGUGUGCGCCAACACUAACCAAACACAUACGACAACACCGACGCCACCUUGUAAGAUUCGAGGACCCGGUGAAAUCAAGCGGACAAAAUGGGGCGGCCAUGUCAAAUGAAGUCCAGCAUGACUUGGUUCAUUGUGUACGUGUGCAUCUACUCACCAAAAAAAUAAGGUUGCUCGGCAUACUAGCUAGCAAGCCUCUCAGAAAUUUCAUCCAUUUUGCCUUCUUCCAAAAUCAUGUACACGUGUGUACAUUGUUGUGGCCAAAAACAUCGACCAGCAAGUUUGUCCGGGAUACUUCGGUACACAACGACAUUCGGGGCAUCACCAACAUGGCAAACAAGCAAAUCCUGAACUUCUUUGAACAACAAAGGGGCUAUAUUGAGGAGGUGUGGUGCGAAGGCCACACACGAUAAGUGCGGGGAGCUGCGGGGGCACACAGCAGAGAGGUUGAGGAAGAGCUCGUGGAACGAAUAUGUUGAUAGGGUAGGCAAACACACAACGCGCUUCACCUCUUCCACGAGACCUUGCGGUUUCUACUCUAGCCGGGGCUCCACGCCGAUAUUUUCGAGUUGAGGUCAGCAUCAUGGACAACUGUGGUCAUGUGACUGUUAGAAAUACUAUCCUGCUCACUCUGUCAACCGCAUAGCCUCGCCGCGGGUCGAGAUUGUAAUUGCCACUUUGAGGUCGAGACAUCUAUUUUGUAUCUGGGAAAAAGGAUGAAGCCACGAUAAUGAUUGGACGUCGUGUUGAUCUCCCGUGGCAACGCACGGGCAUGUUUACUAGUAGAAAAUUAAAACAUGUGUAGUGUAUAUAUCAUAGUGUCUUACAUAGCAAGGAAUAUAUUCAAGAAUCAUACCUAUUCGAAGCUUGGUUGCAUAGUCUUUACUUGAAUAACAACAUUCUUUUAGUGUUCUUUGAAAUGAAAUCUUCAAUAUCCUCGUAAUCAAUGUUCUCCAACACUUCACUCUCAAGUGCUAUUGUGGCCAAAUCAGUAAGCCUUUGUUGUGUCAUUGUAGUACACAAAUACGACUUCAAUAGCUUCAAUUUCGAAAAGCUUCUUUCUGCUGAUGCAACAGUCACAGGAAUGGUCAAUAGAACUAUGUAUGCAACACCUGCAUUGGGAAAACAAUCAUGUCACUCUAAAAACUUUAGAAUUUCAACUGGCCCAUAUCAUCCUUUGGAAUGGAAUCUUUAAGUAAUGUAAACUCCACUACAGUCAUUGGCAUCAAUGUUAGAUUUGCCAUUUUUUAAGGGUUGCCUCAAGAUUAUCACAAGAUUUCAAGCUCUCAUUAUCCAAUGACUGCAAUGAUUUGGAAGUAAAUAAAAAACGAAAAUCUUUUUGCUAACCUCAUAUUGUUCAAAUCUGAUUGUAAGUGACAUAAUUGCUUGAUCAACAAUAGUUGUAAAAUAACCGUUUCUAAAUGAUUCCUCUGCAGACUGUGUGGGAACAUUUGUGUCAUCCGGGUUCUCAUCAAAAUGUCUCUUUCUUUUAAUUCCCCGUCUUUCAUGAAAUGUUGUGCUAAUAACCAUAUCAAGUGCAAUUUUUUUGGCUAUCUCCAAUGCUUCUAAAAGCCACUUUCUCUAUACCCUUCGAAAAAAAUCAACCCUUUCACUUUCUCAAUAGCAACAUCUAUAAGCAUAUCCUUUGCUUGCAAGUGUUUGCUUACUAAAUUAACAACAUAUAAUACCUCAGACCAAAUUACUAUUGCCACUAUAAGUUCAUACUCCCUAGGUUCAUUAUUUGCCAAACCUUUGCCUUGCUGCUCGUUUUAUUUUUUUCGAGAAAACGCAAAAGAUUUGCGUUUCAUUGUAUUGAAAAGAGGGGGUUUGUUACAAUCCUCCUAGAAGGCGAGUUGCAGGGCAAAUACAAGGGCAUUAGUGAACAUCCCAGGUUUGGGGCAGGAUGACGCGGAGGCCAAGGGCCCCAGCUCUGGCCCAAAGAGCAGCCUCGGCCUUGAUCGUGGCGAUCAGGGAGGUGACCGAAGGGCGGUCUCUCUCGAAAACGCAGCCAUUGCAAUGUUUCCAAAUCAUCCAUGGCACGAGCAGAGUGGCGGAGGCGAGGCCUUUGUGCAUCGGCUUGGGCGUGUUCCGUUUAGCCAAGCGCCACCAGUCGUGAAGCGAGGCGUCGUUGUUGGGUGGCGGACAAGGGAGGCGCAGCCACGAGAGGAUCUCAUGCCACACCUGGCGAGCGAAGGGGCAUCCCAGGAGAAGGUGGUGCAGUGUCUCUGGGGCCUGAUCGCAGAGCGGACAGCAGGGUGGGCGAGGCAGGUUACGGCGCGGGAGGUGGUCGGCAGUCCAGCAGCGGUCGAGGUUCGCAAGCCAGUGGAAGAAGCGCACCCGUGGUGGUGCCCAACACUUCCAAGUAAGCCUCCAGGCCUGGCAGGUUACGAUGCUGCUCGUUUUAUAUCAUUAUCAGUUUCAGAUACCUAAAAUGAAAAGAAAGGAAAUAUAUGUUAUAGUUGGAGAUAGCCAAAGGAAUUACAUAAUAAUCAAUAUAAAAAUAUUUGGUACCUAAUAGAGCCUCCCAAAUGGCUGCACAUUGAAAUCUGAUAGCUUUAACACUGUUGACACAACUCUCCCAAUGUGUUGCUGAUACUAACUUGAGCGUCACUCCUAUAUAUGUUAUCUUUUAGAAUUGCAUUUCUUCGUAAAAAUUGCAGAAGUUAUAUAAAUGUCUUGGAUGAUAUCACAAAGUGUUAAAUUAAGGCUAUGGCAACCACAAGUAGAAUAGAUCGCUCUAGGAUUUACAUUCAAAACUCUCCUUUGUACCCCAUGAUGUUUUCCUUUCAUAUCUGACCCAUUAUCAUGCCCUUGUCCUCACAUUAUCUAUAUCAAGAUCAAGAAGCUUAAGUUCAUUCUCUAGCACUUCUAAAAGUCCUUGCCCAGUCGUACCAUUUACAUCUAAAAAUCCUAGAAAGGAUUCUUCUACACAAACAUGACUUGAAGAUGAAUCCACAUACCUAACAAUUGAAGAUAUCUGUUCUUGGUGGCUUGCAUCAAGGUACAAUCAAGUAUGACCGAGAAAUAUUUGCACUCUUUAUUUUCUUAACAAUCUCAAACUUAAUAGCUGAAGCAAGCAAGUGUAUCAACUCAUUCUAAAUCUUGUGAUCAAGAUGAUGAGCAUGAGUUUCUUCAUUUGUAAUACGACAAGCAUGCUCUUGAAUAACUGUGUUAAAUUCAGCCAACAUCUCUACUAGAUCCAAGAAAUUCCCAUUGCUAUCUUCAUACAGUUUGAUGUUACUACCACAAAAGGCUAGAUUAUGCUUGGCAAUAAAUUUAAUAAUGUAAACAAUUCUGGAGAAAAAAAUUCUCCGGUGCUCCUUUUCAUUCUCAAGUUGACCUUGAGCAUCUUUAUCAAUAGUUUGAUGCUUUUGCAAUCUAGUAGUAGAGAGCUCAUACCAAGUGGUCAUAUUCAAAACAUGAUCUACACUUGUCUCAUGCUCUUUUAAGUGUAUUGCCAAGAUGUGUCCAAUCAUCACUGCCAACUGACCUUUUCUAUGCCCUUUUGUAAAUAAUUUACAACCAAAGCAAAAUAGUCUAUUCAGGUCCUUAGAAUAGACAAGGUAAUCUCUAUCGCAAUGCUCCCCAUUUGACAUAAUUCUAGUAUAGAAUAGUGCAGAAAACCCUGCUAGAAUAUCUAUCCUUAGGACCUUUCUGAAAUUGUGAGUCUCUUUUAGGGCCCUUUUGUGCUAAAUUGUCAAUCUGCUUAGGAUCAAGACAACCCCAGUUUCUUGGAUCCAAUAUAUCAACAUGAAAAGAACCACCGACAUCCGCAACAGGUGAAGUAUUUGAGUUAACAUCAAUACUAGUUGUCCUGAUGUCAUCACCAUUAUUAUGCAUAUCAAUAUUUGUGUUACCAAUAAGAUCAUCAUCAACCUCAUCAUUAUUUUCUUUAUUUGCUUGUUCAUCUCUAUGAUCAUUGUCAACAUUAUUAUCAACCAUGAGGCCUUGAUCCUGUGAUUGAUUAUUAGAGGACACGUGUGGUUCUUUUGCAACAAACUUAUCCAUGGCUCCUUUCUGUAAUCGACCUAACUUAUCUGUUUUUUGUUUUUGUCAAACGCUUUUGGUAACCGGAUUCAUGUUCUCUAUCCUGAGAAGACAUGACUUGGAUCUUGAAACAUGUAGAGAAAAGAUGUAAAAUAACAUAAUUAACAAGCUAUUGGCAUAUAUUAAAAUUGCUAGAUGGAAUGCGAUCUGCGGAACUCACGGAUCGAUGGCCGACAGCUGAUAGAAGCACAUGCUGAAUUGGAUGGGGAUGGAUCGAUGGAGGAUCGCCGAGCUUCAAGCGUCGUAUUGGAAAAAGAGGAGAGGAGCCGAACAGACAAGAGAUGAGGGUAGGAGGCGGCGUUGGAGAGGACUUGUCCACUCGACUUGGUGUCCUCGAUGGCUCAAUGCCUUGAUUGCUCGUCGCCUGGGCUCCAUGGGAGACUCUAUGCAGCCUAGACGCGCUAGCGCUAGCGGGGCGGCUUACGGGCCCAUGCUGGAUAUCGAGCAGCAGGCCUGUUGGCUGCUGCUUGCUAUGGGCUGCCUUGUGCUAGGAAUUUCAUGGCCCCUGGAAAUUGGCCAUGUUCCGUUGCACGGACUACACGCCCAUGGGCUCAGGCCUGGAAGAAAUCAAGUAUAUGCAUGUGUGUUAAGAGAAAUCAUCUAUAAAGAUAAUAUACUAGUGAUGACCUCCUUCCAAGGCAAAGGGAGAUGGACCCCAGACAUCAGACUGAACAAGGUCGAAAGGACGCUUGCUCGUGCUCCUGCUCGCCGAUGGUGGUGCUCGAGUGUGCGGUGAUGUGGCCACCCAACAAGGGAAGACAAGAUGUGGGAUCGAGGCAACACACAUAGUAACCCACAACCAGGCAACGGAUGCCCAGCCGGACUGGUAGGGAGCGGAGGUGGAUACAAAGGUGGACUUUGAGCUUCAUAGGAGUCUUAAUAGUGUGCUCAUCAGUAAGAGCAGGAAAAUCCUGGAUAUACUUCUCUUGGGAAAUAAAGAAGCCAUUAAAGGUAGAAGAAACCUCAAUCUCAAGAAAGUAGCGAAGAGGACCAAGAUCAGACAUAAGAAACUCACUAUGACGAGCCUUCACAAAGGCAAUGUACUUAUAAUGUUGUCGGUGAUGAUCGACAUAUAGAAUAAGAGUUCGCCCACGAGUUGAAAUGUAGACAAAAAGUGCAGGAUCAUGAGCACUCGCCGAAAAACCAGCCGCAAUCACUAUUGAGAUGAAACGCUCAGACUAGACACGAGGGGUUUGCUUAAGGCCAUAUAGAGAGCAACAAAGACGACAAACCAUGUCAUCAGGAAGAGAAGCCACAACGAAAAGUGUGCGAAGAGUGGUCAUUUGGGCCAUAGGGGCAAAUGUCUCAUCAUAGUCAUGACCAUGUUCCGACCACUAGACGAGCUUUGUAAUGCUCAAGAGAACCAUCAGAGUCUUAACCUUGUAGACCCACAUACAAGUGAUGAGACGAGCACAAGGAGGAAGGGAAAUGAGAUCCCACGCGCCAAUGCGCGAAAGAGCAUCAAUCUCCGAUUCCAUCACAUGCUGCCAUUCGGGAUGAGCAACAACGUCAUGAUAAGUCGUCUCGAGAAGAGCGGUGCUAGAAUAACCAUAGCGGUCAGUAGGUGGAAGCAGGCGAGCUCGAAAGCCAUAAGUAGGCUAAGUUGGAGGUGGUGCGUUGUCUAACAGAAGAAGACAGUAGUCGAGGGAGAUGGCUCAUCAGAAGGUUCACAACACGCGGAUGACCAGUGUAGUAAAGAAGAUGAUGAGGGGGGAUCAAUGGGGAAGCCUCAGGUAAUGAACGAGGUGGGGAAGCCGCAAGUGACGGUGUGGGGUCUACAACAGUAGUAUGGGAAGACAAGGUGGGAUGGGUGGACGAGGGCAAUACUUGAGUGAUAGGUGUAUUUGAAAAAGUGAGGAAAUAAAUAUCCUCAAUGGGGGAGGUCAGAGAGCAUGGACGUGGAUAUAAAGGACGAGACUCAUCAAAAGUCACAUCCCGAGAAAUGUGCAUCCGACGAUUGGCAGGAUCCCAACGCAGAUAGCCCUUGCUCAUCAUUGUAACCUAAGAAGACACAUUCAACAGACUAAGUAGUUAGUUUGGUGCAUUCAUGGGGGGCAAGAAGAAUGUAGCAAAUGCAACCAAACAAAUGAAGUGUUGAGUAGUCAAGAGAACAACCAAAAAGAUGCUCGAGAGGAAUGUCAGUCUGUAGAGCAAAGGAAGGAUUAAUGUUGAUGAGAUAGGUAGAAGUAGAAACUACCUCAACCCAAAAGUGAGGUGGAAGAGAGGCGACAAUCAUCAACGCACGAACCGCCUCAAGAAGGUGAUGCCGCUUGUGCUCAGCAACACCCUUCUGAGUAUGAGCACCAGGACAGAGAACUGAGGAAGUGUGCCCUGCUCAAUAAGGAAUCCACCCAGCAAAUGGGAGAUGUACCUAAGGAUCCUGAAGCCGUUGAGUUCCACAUGAAGCACACCUUGCUCCAGGCCACCAUGCAUUGCCCGUCGUUGACUAUGUCGGUCCCGCUCUAAAGGAAAACGCGAAUGUACUUCUCGACCGCCACAACGAAAACGCGAAUGUACUUCUCGACUAUGGUGAUGGCUUGAUAAACUGGAAUGGAGAGAAGUACUAAUUUGACAAGCAUGAGCCAGCCUCCCAUGUUUAGUAGAUUCUCAAUCCAAGUGGGGAUGCAGUUGAGAACUUUGUCUAGAAGAGGCUACAUGUGGACUGUGCGAAUCUUGCACAACAAGGGGAGGCUAAGGUAGGUGCACGGGAGCGCUGGGAAAGCACAUGCGAAGCUUAGCUUAUAAUCAAUUAAAUCUCGGUGAUGCUGCAAUAGAUUGGUGCAAAGGAACACUUGUCGAAGUUGGUGCAUAAGCUCGAUGUGCCACCAAGAUCAGGUUGCCGCACGUCGAAGACAGGACGACAACCAUGUCAGCAUUGUACACUAACAUGAGGUGCUUGACGCCAUGCCAACACGAUGGCUCUAACAUGACAAUGCUCUUCGCAUGGACCAACAAGGAGUUGAGCACCUCCAGCACAAAGAAGAAACAAAGACAAAAGGGGGUCACCUUGCCACAGGCCAUGACGGUGAAGAAUAUGCCUCCCGGGCACCCUAUUGAGGGUGUCUACUGUAGAAUCAUCCACACCAACUCGUUGAAUCCGUUGCCAGUGCCGGCGUGCCAUCAGACCAUAUGAGGAAGGGCCAUGAGACUGAAUCGAAUGCCUUCGCAGUGUCAACCUUGAGCAUAAGGGUUGCGAUGUGUCUAAUGUGCAAGCCCGUAGUGGUGAGCAUGAAGGAGCUCUGGUUUUCCUUGAUCAGUUCUGGGAGCCGAGGCAUGAUGUGGAGAGCAAGCAACUUCGAGAAAAGCCUACCAAAGGUAUGCAACAAACAGAUCAGGUGGAAUUGUGCGAGCUUAUUCGAGUUUUUCUUCUCUGCACUAAGACAAUGAGGGCAUCAUUAGGCUCGACGAGGCAACCCGGUAUAAGCAAAUAGAGCUUGUGGACGACUACGGCAAGCUCAUCUUUGAUGAUCUCCAAAGCGAGUUGGUAAAAUAACUCUACGAGGGAUGGCGCACCCCAUGAUGGACGAGUAGUCUGCAGCGUCUACUCCUUAUCCUCAUGGGUCAAGGCGACAAUACUGUCACGGGCAAUGGUAACCAUGUAAUUUUUGCAGUGGCAGUGGCACACAUGGAUGUAGAAGUAGCACGUGUUUGCGUCUCCCUCGGCUAGCUAGUGGAAGCGGAGGGCUGGCGUGGGAUGAUGCACUUGAGGGAGGCCAAACCAAGCAACUUAAGCUUCAACUCUUUGCGUAGAUUAAACUCCUUUUGGGACAGCUGUCGGGACUCCUGCACCACGUUGAGCUGAAAAAUGAUUUCCUUAGCCAUGAGCUGUUGUAGCUUGAUGCUGCCAAUAUGCCGGUUGCUCCACAGCUACAAUGUGUUGUCCAUAUGCUCCAGCAGGACACCCAAACACUAGAGUUGGCGAAGGUGCGACGACACAUGCUAGGCAUCAGCAACCACCUGGCGGAAGCCAUCAAAAUUGGGCCAGAUAUCCUUGAAGUGGGACUGGUGAGCCCUAGGCAUGAAAAUCUUGGUGUACACGCUAAAUCUAAUGCCAUGGAGUAUCCGCGCGGAAAAGCAACUAGGAUGUCAUUACCCCCGAUUCGUUGAACAGAACAAGCGGUCUGGCUGCACCAACGUUGGUGACCGUCGCUUGUUGCUCGAACUGUAGCGUCGCCCGAUGAGGUUGAUCUCGCAAAGCCCAAGGUCAAGGAAACGGUGAAAUCUGCCCAUCUAUCUUCUUUCUAGGUUAGCGUUAUUCUUACCCGCCCCCGCCUGCUAGAUCAAGUUGAAGUCACCGGUAACGACCCAAGGACCAGGUUGCGAGGAGCGCAACGCAGCUUUUGGAGGAAAGCAAAGUGAUUUGCAUCAGCUAAAGGACCACAUACGGUUGACAAUCACCAAGGGAGUGCCUAAGGCAAACACAGAGGGCAAAGGUUCGAGUCAGUGCAUUAAGGCCUCACACGUUUCAAGAAGACCACGCCGAACUAAGGAUGAGAGACGAGAGUAACACAAGUAACCAAGGCGAUGCCCCCACUGCUAAAAAGAGCUGGUAGACAAGGCAACAGAGGUGGAGAGACCGGCGGCGGUAGCAACAGAGGGAAAGUGAAGCCAGUCAAGCUCCCAGAGGCCCUGGGAGUUAUGACAUCGGGGUCCAGCACCAAGGACAACACCAGUGUGACGGUCCGAAACAGUGCAUGAGUCAAAGUCGAGAAUUACCCAACAACCAGAGUCAACAAUCUGACCACCAAAAAUGAGCUGCAUGGUAUGUUGAGGAACAUGAAAGGACAAAGUGCUAAGAAGCCUUUGGCUAUUAACAAGGAGGGAGGUACCUGUUAGGAUAUAUGCAACUGUAUUUCCAGGUGGCCAUAUGCCAUUGUAUACACGUACAAGUGUUUUACAAUAUGCAAAAAAACCUUUAUAGAGUGGGGAAAAUACAAAGGGGUACACGACUAAAUAUAUAACUCUUAACUCCCCAUCCCUCAAACUCAUGGUGGAUCAACAACACCGAGCUUGGAGAGAUAGAUAUAGAAGUCAUGUUGUGCUCUAGUUUGGGCCUUCCUAAAGAAAUGUUCCAACUGUAACUCCGAAGGCACAUACUGAGGAGCCAUAAUCCGAAUUUUGCACACAAAAAAAAGCAUCAAAGCCAAUAUGCUUGGUGAGUUCAUUCUUCGUUGGGUCGCGCGCAACACUACGAGCACAUGUAUUGUCAAAUAAGAGCAAAGUAGGUGUAGUGACAGAAAUACCAAACUUCUGAAGUAACCACUGCAACCAAGUCACCCCUGCCGUCAAAAGAGCCAUAGCUCAAGGCUCAGCCUCUGCACUCAAACGUGAAAUUGUAGUCUGUUUCUUUGUCUUCGAGGCAGUGAGAGAAUUAGUCCACAUAGCAUUUGAAUAGGCCUGACGCUGUAAUGAACUAGAGCAGGGAAAGAACAUACGGUGAGAGAUCGUGCCACGAAGAUAUCAGAGAACACAAAGGAGAAGGAGGUGACUAUAGUGAACCAAUGUGGGUGCAAAGACAAACUGACUCAAACUAUGCACGGGAUAGGAGAUAUCUGGAUGAGUAACAUCUAGAUAAACAAGACUCCCAACAAGAUGACGAUAACACGUCGGAUUAGACAAGGGUCACCAUCACUAGCACGAAGGUGAACAUUGAGCUCCAUGGGAGUCUCAACAGUGCACUCAUCAGUAAGAGCAGCAUGAGCAAGAAGAUUCUGGAUAUAUUUUUCUUGGAAAAUAAAAAAGCCAUCAGAGGUAGAAGAGACCUCUAUCCCAAGAAAGUAGGCGAAAAUCAGACAUAAGAAACUGCUCACUAAGACGUGCUUUCACAAAGGCAAUAUACUGAGGGUCGUUGCCAUUGAUGAUCAUGUCGUUAGCAUACUCAGGGUCGGCAGAGACGCUCAGGGUUGUAGGGACGGUCAUUAGGCUAGCGGCGGAUGGAGCAUCGAGGCCCAAGCUCUAGGCGGUGCAUGCAUCGCGGGUGGAGGAACGGUCGGCGUGGGGCGCAAGGAGCAGCAGGUGCGGAACUGUGGGGCUUUAUCUCCCCUUGUCUAGCACAGGCUGCUGUAGAAGAUGAAGGGAAGUCAGGGCGCCUCAAACGGCGGCAGCUCCCCUCUGGCUUGGACCAGAACCCCGGCAGCCACGGAAGUGCAGAGAAGCAAGCAUAGCAAAUGGCGCAGCCGCCUCCUCCCCUUGCUUGCUUCCUCUUCUUGGAGCCCUGUUCCAGCUCUCUCUCUCUCUCUCUCUCUCUCUCUCUCUCUCUCUUUAAUAUAUAUUACCCUGGAUGAAGAAUAACUUAUUCUUCAUCCCGGUCAAACGACCCACCAAGUCGGACUCCCUUCGUAUCCGCUCGGUUGCCCCACCAAAAGAAAAUAACAAUUCCCACCACGGCUGGCAGACAAUGAUUUUUUUUAUGUUAGCGAGGAAAAGAAAACUCCGCCUAUGUUGUCUCAACAUAGCCGGUCCCAAGCCCGGGUAAAGGAGGAGGGUUGUGAUGGGCUUGGCGAGCCAAUGUAAAAACUCAGCCACUCUUAUGGAGAUGAAACCCAAAAGAUUUUCGUUGGGGCUUAAGCGUGCAAAGAAUCUCAAGAGAGGUCGGGGUAGACCGAAUUUGACAUGGGAGGAGUCUGUUAAGAGAGACCUGAAGAUUGGAGUAUCACCAAAGAACUAGCUAUGAACAGGGGUGCGUGGAAGCUUGCUAUCCAUAUGCCAGAGCCAUGAGUUGGUUGCCAGAUCUUGUGGGUUUCACCUGUAGCCUACCCCAACUUGUUUGGGACUAAAGGCUUAGUUGUUGUUGUUGUAGCGAGGAAAAGAAAAUUUGGUCGUGGGUAUUGCGAGCUAGCCUCCCCGCAGUUUCUGGGAAGCGCGGGCUCCACUACCAGCAGCAUCGAGGUCGGAGGCGAGGGUUGAUCGUUUCGGCCGCGAGCGGGCGGUUUUGCGUUGGGUGUCCUCGUCGGCGCUUGGCUUCAGCCACGGAGGAAUCGGGGCCUCGGCUUCGCGGCGACACAUUACAGCGUCCCUACUGUUGUGCUUCUGCUCUCGGUUGAUUCGGGGGUGGGCAUCAGCGUGUGAAAUCGACUGCAGAGGAUUAGGGCCUGGGGCAUCGCAUCUUCCUGCCGGUGGAAGGCCUGCGUCCCCUCGAGGCUGGUACGUAUUCUGGCAAGGACAAAGUUUUCUCAGCCCUUUUUCAUUGCGUGUGCAUUCUUUAGAAUCACGUAUAUUCUUCAGUAAUGCUCCCAAAUCUCUGCUCACUCCAGAAGUCCAGAUACAGUGCAUCACGUAAUUUUCUUGUUUAGUUGCCAUUAGCCAACUUCACAGAAUUCAAGUUGGAUUUAUUUGAACGGCAAUGUCUCGAGCUUUUGGGGAGCAACAGUAAUUACAAGCUUAGCUAGCGCCAUACCAACACUUUGCCAUUGUGAGGAUUUGCAUCCCACCUCUACCCCAAUGUCACAAGUAAAAUUAUUGUGAUUAUCCAUCUGAUGACAUGAGUAAUUUAACUUUUGUUCUGUGUUUCAUGUUGUCUGGAGCAAUGUUUGGUUCCUAGCAGUUUCCAGAUGGAUUUAUUUCCAUUGCAAUGAGAACGACUGUCAAUAUUUGCUGAAUUUUUGGUCAAGACUCAACCCACAAACCAAGAGGACUUAACCCUCUUCUCCUUGAUCUCCUUGAUAGUCCAGCAAUCAGCAAGUUGAAAAGAUUUAAAUCAAGGUUCCAUGAUAAUUCUUUUGAAUCUUCCUGUAAGGUAGGCUUUUCAGAUAUUCCAUUUCAAACUAAAGGUGCAUUCCUUUUACUUCCGGUAAUAUAAACUAUGUAUUUUUAAUUGUCUAACCUUGUGUGCAUAGGGUUUCUUUCACACGAGAGGUAAAGAUGUUCCUUGUACAAUAUUUAGGUUCUGCAGAAAAAUAUUGUUUUAAUUGGUUGUUGUUUGCCUGUCAGUCACACAAGCCUUUAUUUAUAUUAGGCCUUAGAUGCUACUCCCUCUGUAAAGAAAUAUAAGUGUUUAGAUCACUACGGAGGGAGUAUCAAGUACUAUCUGUUAUCCCUUUGUAAUAGAAGAGCAUAAUUUCCACUCCCUAGUUGUUGAUCAUAUUUCUCUGUGCCACAUUCUAGUUCCAAAAAUGCAUGUUGAUGGUCCACCUUGUUGAUUGCCUGCUGAUAUUGUGAGAUAUUUGAUUAUGCUUGAUAAUAUUAGCAGCGAAGAGUGCCUCAUUAAAAAUCUUAGUUGGAGAGUGAAAUUUGCGUUAGUAGUAUGUACUGAAUUUUAUGGCAGUCAUAAGAUGAAAUUGUUCCUGUGAAACUGAGGACUGAAAGAGCUGAUUCUGGUGCUCAACAGUAUGAUAUUUUAGCCCCUGCAUAAAUUGUGGGAAAUCCCACAUGCAUGGAAAAUGAAGGACUCAAAGGUUAACAUAAUCCAUUUUAUAAAUCAUCACACGUGCAUCUUCAUUAUGUAUGAGAUUAUUCUGGGAUACCGCCUCCAUUAAUUAAUUAUGUAUUAAAGAGGUAAUUUAUCUUUUGCGAUAAACUGAGGAGGGGAGCAGUUAUGUUUGUCCUUGCAAUUGUGACGUGUAUUUCUACAUCUGACGUACAGUGUAACUAUUUCAGGGCUUGACAGACCAGUUUUUAUCCGGAAGAAAGGCCUUUAGCGUGUGUUUGGAUCUGAAGAACAAAGCAAGAUAUGGCUGUCAUUCCUUCUAACUUGGCUAGUUACUAGUAUCUCCUUGAUCCUUUGAUAAGGUGGUCUUGGCGUGUGUGUGUGGGCAAUAGAGAACAUAACUUGGCAAUUUCUGUACAUGUUUACUGUAUUCAUUUAUUCAGGAUUAGAAGCUUAAAUUCUGAAUUUUAUAGUUCAGGAGUAGCUACCUCCUGAUGUACCGGUUUAAUUUAAUGGUUUCAUCGAAUGUGAAUCAAAAGUAUAUGUUGUUAACAUAGUUGGGUAUACAUAUCAUGUCAUCUUUCUUUUCUAAGGUGUUUGAUGAGUUCAAUGCGAUGAAACAGAUGCGCUGAAUAUAUUCAAGGUUUCUAGCGGGAAUCACUUCUUCAUGGCCAUUCUGGUGACAAUGGUUGUACUCCAGGUGCUGAUGGUCCAAGAAUUGUAAAGAUAAGGCGGGGGAACCUUAUUUGUGUGGUGGAUGCAAUUAUGUUAUGAGGUCAAUUUGUAAUUUAUUAUACUGCAGUUAUGGACCAAGCCAUGAAUCAGUACCAAAAUUCAGGAUUGGUGAGAAGAAACGUGAACUUAAAAUGUUUUUAGUAUCCUAA